UUUUUUGUUAUGGUUUUUGUUACAUUCUUUGACUCGAGUUUAAGUAAAAAGGGGACUAUCACUUUCUUCAUUUUACUGAAGAACAGACAAUCCCAAAAGUGCACAGAGUUAGAGAGUGGAGGUCAGGCUGCUCGAAAGCACGCCCUAAAAUUCACUAAUGAUCCUUCCGCAGGUUCACCUACGGAAA
rnacentral:misc_RNA from 1 species